AUUGAACGCUAGCGGGAUGCUUUACACAUGCAAGUCGAACGAGUGGCGGACGGGUGAGUAAUAUAUCGGAACGUGCCCAGUAGCGGGGGAUAACUACUCGAAAGAGUGGCUAAUACCGCAUACGAUUGGACCGACCGAUAUCGGAUUAGCUAGGUGGUGGGGUAAAGGCUCACCAAGGCGAAGAUCCUUAGCUGGUUUGAGGGGACGACCAGCCACACUGGGAGUGAGACACGGCCCAGACUCCUACGGGAGGCAGCAGUGGGGAAUUUUGGACAAUGGGUGAAACCCUGAUCCAGCCAUCCCGCGUGUAUGAGAAGGCCUUAGGGUUGUAAAGUACUGUUAGCAGAGAAGCGUUAUCUGCAGAAGAAGCACCGGCUAACUACGUGCCAGCAGCCGCGGUAAUAC
rnacentral:rRNA from 1 species